rnacentral:rRNA from 1 species
UACGAAGGGGGCUAGCGUUGUUCGGAAUCACUGGGCGUAAAGGGCGCGUAGGCGGCCGCUCAAGUCGGGGGUGAAAGCCUGUGGCUUAACCACAGAAUUGCCUUCGAUACUGUUUGGCUUGAGACCGGAAGAGGUGAGUGGAACUGCGAGUGUAGAGGUGAAAUUCGUAGAUAUUCGCAAGAACACCAGUGGCGAAGGCGGCUUCCUGGCCUGUUCUUGACGCUGAGGCGCGAAAGCGUGGGUAGCAAACAGG